GGAAGAUCAAGCGGUUGUUUUGUUCCGACAGCAGCGGAAGAAGAGGGACAUUCUAAAGCGCUUAAUAAAAAACACAGCUUAACGUAGUUUAAUGCCCCAGAACACUGAUCA